rnacentral:rRNA from 1 species
UACAGAGGGUGCGAGCGUUGUUCGGAAUUAUUGGGCGUAAAGGGCGCGUAGGCGGCGCGGUAAGUCACCUGUGAAAUCUCCUGGCUCAACUGGGAGCUUGCAGGCGAAACUGCCGUGCUGGAGUGUGGGAGAGGUGCGUGGAAUUCCUGGUGUAGCGGUGAAAUGCGCAGAUAUCGGGAAGAACACCCGUGGCGAAGGCGGCUCUCUGGGACGGUACUGACGCUGAGACGCGAAAGCGUGGGGAGCGAACAGG